GCCAAUUCUUAACGGCUCAUAAAAAUGAUAUCUUCAGCUUUCCUUAUGCAAAUACAUGGCCUAUCCACAUCGAUUAAUUGAGAUCGUAUCAAGUUGCAUCAUUUUUGGAGGUGAUUAAAUGCCCAUGCCCUUCGGAGAUGACAAUUUCUUAUUUCACCUUCUGCAGCUUCAGAAAGUGAAAGAGGAAAUUGCUAAAGCGGACUUCAGUGUUGCCCGGCACAACCUCUACUUCUGUUAGUAGCCGCUGGUUUGGCAAUCACAUUAUAAACAGCAUUCAGCUCUUGGGGAUCCCACUUUUGUGGAGAAUUACUUCAAGCUGAGCCAAAAUAUUCUACUUAUUAAGGAGGACUUUAUCAUUGCCCACUUGCAGUUUGUCUGCACAUGUUGCCAUAGACCUAUAUUAUCCGGAUGGCAAUGGUUUUGCAGUCUUUGUAAAAACUUUCAGCUAUGUGAAAGGUAAAUCAUUCUAUAUCCUCUUAUUUAUUAGAAUAUGCUCUUUGGCAGUUUUUGUGCAAUUUUUUCUUGUUGAUUUCUGGUUGGCACUAUAUUUCCUUCUUGGAGCUCCAUUGAGGCGUGAAGUUAUGAGCAACCUCGACUAGCUGGACUCUUAACUUUUAGAUGGUUAUGCCCUGUCUAGAAGUAAAUUUGAAAACAUAAAGCUAUAAGAUGAUAACAAUAUUAAGUUUCUUUAUUGAUUCAGUUUGUGUAUAAAUAUUCAGAUUGGAACUAUUUAGAGUUCCAAAGAAUGCUUGAAAAGCAACUUAUCACCUUUGUGAAAUGAGUUUUUUGUUACCAAGUUUAGUAAUAAUAAUGCAUUUGUGUCUUACAAAUGGGAAAUGUUUUAUUAUACCUAUCCAUGGAUUUAAAUUACGGUAGCGGUCACGUUUUCGGUCGCGUCACGUUUGUUAUGGUUGCGGAUAUAACGGAGAUCUUCGAGGUCAUUGCGGCUAUCGCGAU